UACGUAGGGAGCAAGCGUUGUCCGGAAUCAUUGGGCGUAAAGCGCGCGUAGGCGGCCCUGUAAGUCCGUUGUGAAAGUCAAAGGCUCAACCUUUGAAAGCCGAUGGAUACUGCCGGGCUAGAGUCCGGAAGAGGCGAGUGGAACUCCUGGUGUAGCGGUGGAAUGUGCAGAUAUCAGGAAGAACACCAACGGCGAAGGCAGCUCGCUGGGACGGUACUGACGCUGAGACGCGAAAGCGUGGGGAGCGAACAGG
rnacentral:rRNA from 1 species